CCUACGUGAGGCAGCAGUGAGGAAUAUUGGUCAAUGGGCGGGAGCCUGAACCAGCCAAGUCGCGUGAGGGAAGACGGUCCUAUGGAUUGUAAACCUCUUUAGGCGGGGAGCAAUGCCGGGCACGUGUGCCCGGAGGGAGAGUACCCGCAGAAUAAGCAUCGGCUAACUCCGUGCCAGCAGCCGCGGUAAUACGGAGGGGGCAAGCGUUAUCCGGAAUUACUGGGUGUAAAGGGAGCGUAGACGGUUAAGUAAGUCUGGAGUGAAAGGCCGGGGCCCAACCCCGGGACUGCUCUGGAAACUAUUGAACUUGAGUGCAGGAGAGGUAAGCGGAAUUCCUAGUGUAGCGGUGAAAUGCGUAGAUAUUAGGAGGAACACCAGUGGCGAAGGCGGCUUACUGGACUGCAACUGACGCUCAUGCACGAAAGUGUGGGUAUCGAACAGGAUUAGAUACCCUUGUAGUC
rnacentral:rRNA from 1 species